GGAGGUCCGUUUUGUGGCAAAAGUCAGCUUAUUCUUUCCAAAUCAAGCUAAAAACGUUUCAGCUUUAAGAGUCACUUGAUCACCCAUCAAACCAAUUCAUGGUCCUUUAAUCUAUUUCCUUUUAAGAAUUUGUUUCAGCCUUUAAAAGAAAGAGAGGAAAUCAGAAGUGAGACGGACAAUUUUCCACAACCAAAAAGUUAGAAAACCCUAGCCGCAAACCUACAAAAAAUCAGAAACUUGCAUCAACACUUUCCCACACAAUCCAACACCAUAAAACCAUCAAUUUCAAUACGAGAUUCAAUCAACCAAAACCCAGCACACGCAAAGGACGGAACGAGCUCAAACCGAACACCACAGAACCGGGCCGUUUCCAACAUCCGUUCAAAGACCGAAUCUGAACCGAACCAAGAGGGACAAUAGAGAACCGGUUUCAUUCAAAGGUAAAAGGUAGUAAUUUCUGUUCUUUUGUAGAUAUAGAUCUGUUUGUUCUUGGUGUUUGGUGAAUAGUUCUGUUGUUUGGUUUGUUUUUGUUUUGUUUCUAAAUUUGUAGAUCUGGAGUUUGUAAGGUAGGAUUUCAAAAAAAUAAGGCCGGAUUCGUGUUUAAAACCAAAAAGGAUUUCAAAAUAUGUAAAAAAA
rnacentral:lncRNA from 1 species